AUUGAACGCUGGCGGCAGGCCUAACACAUGCAAGUCGAGCGGUAGAGAGUAGCUUGCUUCUCUUGAGAGCGGCGGACGGGUGAGUAAUGCCUAGGAAUCUGCCUGGUAGUGGGGGAUAACGUUCGGAAACGGACGCUAAUACCGCAUACGUCCUACGGGAGAAAGCAGGGGACCUUCGGGCCUUGCGCUAUCAGAUGAGCCUAGGUCGGAUUAGCUAGUUGGUGGGGUAAUGGCUCACCAAGGCGACGAUCCGUAACUGGUCUGAGAGGAUGAUCAGUCACACUGGAACGGCGACACGGUCCAGACUCCUACUGGAGGCAGCAGUGGGGAAUAUUGGACAAUGGGCGAAAGCCUGAUCCAGCCAUGCCGCGUGUGUGAAGAAGGUCUUCGGAUUGUAAAGCACUUUAAGUUGGGAGGAAGGGCAGUAAAUUAAUACUUUGCUGUUUUGACGUUACCGACAGAAUAAGCACCGGCUAACUCUGUGCCAGCCGCCGCCGUAA
rnacentral:rRNA from 1 species